rnacentral:tRNA from 1 species
GGGCCCGUAGCCUAGUUUGGAUAAGGCGUCGGCCUUCGGAGCCGGAAACCCAGGGUUCAAAUCCCUGCGGGCCCGCCA